rnacentral:tRNA from 1 species
AAGACACUAGUAAAAAAUAUUACCCUGCCUUGUCAAGGCAGCAUUGUAGGUUAAAAUCCUACGUGUCUUG